rnacentral:rRNA from 1 species
GAUGAACGCUGGCGGCGUGCCUAAUACAUGCAAGUCGAGCGAACAGACGAGGAGCUUGCUCCUCUGACGUUAGCGGCGGACGGGUGAGUAACACGUGGAUAACCUACCUAUAAGACUGGGAUAACUUCGGGAAACCGGAGCUAAUACCGGAUAAUAUAUUGAACCGCAUGGUUCAAUAGUGAAAGACGGUUUUGCUGUCACUUAUAGAUGGAUCCGCGCCGCAUUAGCUAGUUGGUAAGGUAACGGCUUACCAAGGCAACGAUGCGUAGCCGACCUGAGAGGGGGAUCGGCCACACUGGAACUGAGACACGGUCCAGACUCCUACGGGAGGCAGCAGUAGGGAAGCUGCCGCAAUGGGCGAAAGCCUGACGGAGCAACGCCGCGUGAGUGAUGAAGGUCUUCGGAUCGUAAAACUCUGUUAUUAGGGAAGAACAAAUGUGUAAGUAACUAUGCACGUCUUGACGGUACCUAAUCAGAAAGCCACGGCUAACUACGUG